UCCUCGUUUAAGCGAGGCAGUCUGUCCAGAGUGCUCCAGUCUCUCGACCGGGUGGCAACAGGACACAAGGGUUGCGCUCGUUGCGGGACUUAACCCAACAUCUCACGACACGAGCUGACGACAGCCAUGCAGCACCUGUGUAGGCUCCCCUUGCGGGGUCGUCAGACUUUCAUCCUUCUACCACCUACAUGUCAAGGCCAGGUAAGGUUCUUCGCGUUGCAUCGAAUUGAGCCACAUACUCCACCGCUUGUGCAGGCCCCCGUCAAUUUCUUUGAGUUUUAAUCUUGCGACCGUACUUCCCAGGCGGCACAUUUAACGCGUUAGCUUCGCCACGAACGGGGUCGAAUCCGUUCACAGCAAAUGUGCACCGUUUACAGCUAGGACUAC
rnacentral:misc_RNA from 1 species